UUAGGGGGAUGCUUAGUACGGCGAGUGAAGCGGCAAAAGCUCAAAUUUGAAAUCUGGUACCUUCGGUGCCCGAGUUGUAAUUUGGAGAGGGCAACUUUGGGGCCGUUCCUUGUCUAUGUUCCUUGGAACAGGACGUCAUAGAGGGUGAGAAUCCCGUGUGGCGAGGAGUGCGGUUCUUUGUAAAGUGCCUUCGAAGAGUCGAGUUGUUUGGGAAUGCAGCUCUAAGUGGGUGGUAAAUUCCAUCUAAAGCUAAAUAUUGGCGAGAGACCGAUAGCGAACAAGUACAGUGAUGGAAAGAUGAAAAGAACUUUGAAAAGAGAGUGAAAAAGUACGUGAAAUUGUUGAAAGGGAAGGGCAUUUGAUCAGACAUGGUGUUUUGUGCCCUCUGCUCCUUGUGGGUAGGGGAAUCUCGCAUUUCACUGGGCCAGCAUCAGUUUUGGUGGCAGGAUAAAUCCAUAGGAAUGUAGCUUGCCUCGGUAAGUAUUAUAGCCUGUUGGGAAUACUGCCAGCUGGGACUGAGGACUGCGACGUAAGUCAAGGAUGCUGGCAUAAUGGUUAUAUGCCGCCCGUCUG
rnacentral:rRNA from 1 species